CCUACGGGUGGCAGCAGUGGGGAAUUUUGGACAAUGGGCGCAAGCCUGAUCCAGCUAUUCCGCGUGUGGGAUGACGGCCUUCCGGUUGUAAACCACUUUUGUAGAGAACGAAAAGUCUGUUGAUAAUACCGAUACAUGAUGACGGUACUCUAAGAAGAAGCACUGGCUCACUACGUGCCAGCAGCCGCGGUAAUACGUAGGGUGCGAGCGGUAAUCGGAAUUACUGGGCGUAAAGGGUGUGCAGGCGGUUUUGCAAGAUGGAUGGGAAAGACCCGGGCUUAACCUGGGCAAGUCAUACAUGACUGCAAGACUAGAGUGCGUCAGAGGGGGGUGGAAUUCCAAGUGUAGCAGUGAAAUGCGUAGAUAUUUGGAAGAACACCGAUGGCGAAGGCAGCCCCCUGGGACGCAACUGACGCUCAUACACGAAAGCGUGGGGAGCAAACAGGAUUAGAUACCCCGGUAGUC
rnacentral:rRNA from 1 species